rnacentral:rRNA from 1 species
GAUCAUGGCUCAGGAUGAACGCUAGCUACAGGCUUAACACAUGCAAGUCGAGGGGCAUCAUGACGAUAGCUUGCUACUGUUGAUGGCGACCGGCGCACGGGUGAGUAACGCGUAUCCAACCUUCCCCUUAGUAGAGGAUAGCCCGGCGAAAGUCGGAUUAAUACUCUAUGUUGUUCGAUGCGGACAUCUAAGUUGAACCAAAGGUUUACCGCUAAGGGAUGGGGAUGCGUCUGAUUAGGUAGUAGGCGGGGUAACGGCCCACCUAGCCUACGAUCAGUAGGGGUUCUGAGAGGAAGGUCCCCCACAUUGGAACUGAGACACGGUCCAAACUCCUACGGGAGGCAGCAGUGAGGAAUAUUGGUCAAUGGCCGAGAGGCUGAACCAGCCAAGUAGCGUGCAGGAAUGACGGCCCUAUGGGUUGUAAACUGCUUUUGUAUGGGGAUAAAGUUCACUACGUGUAGUGAUUUGCAGGUACCAUAUGAAUAAGGACCGGCUAAUUCCGUGCCAGCAGCCGC